rnacentral:rRNA from 1 species
UACAGAGGGUGCGAGCGUUGUCCGGAAUCACUGGGCGUAAAGGGCGCGUAGGUGGCGUCGCAAGUCGAUGGUGAAAGCUCGUCGCUCAACGACGAGUCGGCCAUUGAUACUGCGAGGCUGGAGCACUGUAGAGGCAGAUGGAAUUCCGGGUGUAGCGGUGGAAUGCGUAGAGAUCCGGAAGAACACCGGUGGCGAAGGCGGUCUGCUGGGCAGUUGCUGACACUGAGGCGCGACAGCGUGGGGGAGCAAACAGG